GCACUGCUGAGGAGUCCCAUACUAGGACGAAAUGGUCAUCCAGUAC
rnacentral:hammerhead_ribozyme from 1 species